AAAACGAACGCUGGCGGCAGGCCUCAAACAUGCAAGUCUAGGGGGUGUAGCAAUACAUCACCGGCGGACGGGUGCGUAACGCGUGGGAAUGUACCUAUUGGUUCGGAACAACUGAGGGAAACUUCAGCUAAUACCGGAUGAGCCCGAAAGGGGAAAGAUUUCUCGCCAAUAGAUCAGCCCGCGUCCGAUUAGCUAGUUGGUGGGGUUAAAGCCUACCAAGGCGACGAUCGGUAGCUGUUCUGAGAGGAAGAUCAGCCACACUGGGACUGAGACACGGCCCAGACUCCUACGGGAGGCAGCAGUUGGGAAUCUUGGACAAUGGGGGAAACCCUGAUCCAGCCAUGCCGCGUGAGUGAUGAAGGCCUUCGGGUUGUAAAACUCUUUCGACGGGGACGAUAAUGACGGUACCCGUAGAAGAAGCUCCGGCUAACUUCGCGCCAGCAGCCGC
rnacentral:rRNA from 1 species